AAAUGCUGAAUGUUACUGAAGUUGAGAAGUGGGGUUUUCAAGGCUCUCUCUCUUUUUGCAGGUUCAAGUCCAGUUACCACAAGGUGACAUGGCAGCAGAAACCUCAGUCAAGCAUUUCCAAUAACUGGCAAUGAGUCUUUCACAUCGCUGGGGAGGAAUUUUGGCCCACUCUUCUUUGCAGAAUUGUUUGAAUCCAGCCACAUUGGAGAGUUGUCAAGCAUGCCAAGAGGUGUACUUCCCGGUGUGUCGGAUCAUUAUCCUGCUGCAUAAAGCAAGUGCACUUGAGCUUCAGGGUCUGAACUGAUGGCCAGACAUUCUCCUUCUGGAUCCUUCAUGGUUCCAUCAGUUACAGCAAAUUGUCCAGGUCCUGAAGGAACAAAGAAGCCCUAGGCCAUCACACAACCAUGUCCGACUGUUGGUUUGUUGCUUUUUUUUUAAAUCAAAUGUUGUGCUAGUUUCAUGCUAGAUGUAAUGGGGAGUUAAGCCUUCCAAAAAUGUAAACUUUUGUCUCAUCCACAGAAUAUUUUAUUGUCAUGAUGUUGUUGAGCAAGCGUUUGUGUUCUUUUUGGUCAGCAGCAGUUUUCCCCUUCAAACUCUCCCAUUGACGUAUUUUUUUGUGUUUUUAUCUCUUUCUUCUGAUCUUAACUGUAAUUUAAGUGAGACUUGCAGUACUGUGGAUGUUUUUCUUGGUUCUUCUGUGACCUCCUGGAUGAAUUGUUAAAGCGCUCAUGGAGUAACUUUUCAAAAACCAGCAAUUCCUAGGAAAGUUCUUUAUUGUUCCAAGUUUUCUCCAUUUGUGAAUGCUGACUCUCAUCGUGGUCUGUUGGAGUCCCAAAGGAAAAAAAAUUAAUAAAUCAGAAAGGGGGAAAUACUUUGUUUAACAGCACUGUGUACUUGCAGGGACUCUCUUUUUCUCCACAGGCUCACACACAGGUAAGGUCUCUCCAAAUCCACAGGUUUGAACUUGGGUGAGUAUUUCUUUGUGAGCAGGAAUGGGUCAGGCUGUUUUCUCCAGAAACAGGGCAGACAGGCACACCAGGACAGAAGCUGCAACAAUGUAGGACAGAUCAGGUAAGCACAGAGCACGAGUUAACAGGUUAGCAGGCAAGGGCUCAAACUAAGAGGCUUGAAUUAGACUGCCACACUGAAUAGCUUAAUAAUCUGAGAAUCAGGGUUAUAUAGUGCUGGUGAUAGUUGAUGAAGAUCAUCAUGGGGCAGCCACGUGUAUUCCUGGGAGGAGGUAAUCCGAGUAAACCACUCGCGAGGGUAGAGGAGAGAAAGGAAGAUAGUGGAUCUGAACCUUAGAGGGGGUCUCUGAUAAGAUGAGGGUCUUUCAGCAAUUCGAUUCUCAUCUUUUUAAUAGUUAUUUGGUCGGUAAUCUUGAAUAUCACCUUUGGUAAUGCUGAAGGAUUUUUGAAAACAUGUCUUGCAAUUCUGUCUUUUCAAAAAUGCAAAAAGAAAAUAAUAUGGGGAAGACUAAACAGUUUCUAGUCCCUGCAGUAAUUCACUUGUUAUGGAUAUAAACUGUGUGCAAUGCCCCGAGGAAUGUCACAGAAAAAAAGGUAUUUUCUUCAAGUAAGCAUACUAGUAGGAAAUAAACACACAAACAUUUAAAACUAAAGAGUGAUAAAUUUUGAUUUCACUGCUGCAUAUUUUUAAUGCAAGUUCCAAUAUUUUACCAGACUUGGUAGCUUUAUUACAGCUGUGCCCACAUAUCUUAGAUUAUAGACACUCAAACACAGCUAACACUUUAGCUUCUUUAAAGUGAAGGUGAAGAGCCUACCAACAACAAUCAUAAAGUUUGGAUAAAAUUUGGGAAAAAAUGUGGAAAUUUGUUUAUUUUUCUUUAUAUGGUUGUUUGAAUCUAAUUGCAUUGUUUCACAAGUCUUGCUAGUGGUAUUGGGAAUAAUAAUUUUACUGCAUGUUCCCUGUAUUUUGCCAGUCCCAGUAGGAACACAGCUAAAUGAACACAUUAAAUAUUUAUAACAUAUGUGAAAUGAAAAUAAAAUAAAUGGUAUUAAUACAGAGAUAACAUAGAUGCUAAUUGUGUGGUGCUGCUUGCAUUAGUCUAAAGGAUAAAACUUUUUAUUAGCUUAAUCCUGCAUAGCGUUAUUUCCGAUUGGAUAUUAAUUUACUAUCUACCGUUGGGAUCAUUUUAAGUUCAUCCCUCACACACUGUUUACCCUCCAACUUCACUGCUGGCUAUCUAUGUAACUGCACAGUCAGGUUUAUCCACCCAGUCAAAUUAAUCCUCAGGAACAGCUUUGAAUGUACUAUAUCGCUGCUGGAUUUGGCACAUGCACAUAAUAACAGUGUCAUUCAGGGGGGACUAACACACUUUUUUUUGGCAGAAGCUUAAAGUCAAAAUAUAUAUUACCUACCCUCGUGGUUUUCCAUUCAUUUUCCCAAAGUGCAUGUUUCCUUGAAAAUAAAGGCAAAGAAAGUGUGGUUACUGGGGAGGUCUAUAUUUCUCUAGAAUUAGAGGCUGUCCUCAACCAUCCCCGAAUCACAACUUUGAAGGCCCUUAAAGAAGCCGAAACGUAAAAAGCUUGCAAGGUCUACCAAAAACAUUUACAAAAACUUUGGUGUUCAUCAAUCCACAGUAAGGUAUUAUUUACAAAUGGAGGAAAUUCGGGACUGUUGAUCCUGCAAGAUCACACAAAAAGCUCAACAUGAAAUCCUGAACAAAAUAAAGUGAAACAGCAAGAGAUGCCUACAAUUUGCUUGAGUCUUUUUUAUUCGUCCAUUAAGAGAAAAACAAAGACUUACAAAUAAUGGAAAUAGACACGCACAAAAAGAAAAAAACAAUAAAACAACUGCCUGUUAAAAAUUAAAGAAACAAAAACCCCCGAUUUUUCACAACACUUCUCAAUAUUCUUCACAGUCCUCUGGCAUGUACUAAACUGCUUUUGAAGAAAAAAAAAAGCCUCUGCAGACCAACAGCAAAACCUCGUCCAAAUUGAGCCAUGACCAUGGUGGAGAGAGUGUUAUUGUUGGCGGUGCUUUGCUAUCUCAGGGCCUGGGUGUCUUGUUAUGACUGACCAAACAAUGAAUAAAAAAACAACAAAACAAACUGCAUUAUGAGACUUAAAGAAGAAUUUCAGUUCAACAGUCCCUGAGCUAGAGCUUAGGAGAGGACGUCUGAUGCAACAAGAAAAUGGCCCAAACAUUGAGUAAAUGAACAAAAGAAUAGUUGUGAAAGGAGAAACCAUUUAUGUUUUGGAAUGGUCAAGUCAAAGCCCUGACCUUAAUCUGAUUUAGAAGCUGUGGUCUGAGUAGAGGAAAGCUGUUUAAAAAAACUCUCUCAGACAUAUUGAUGAACUAAAAUAUCUGUUUGUUUCUCUACAGAGGAACGUUCCAAAGAUCCUCAUCAUUGUGCAAGUCUCAUGAGAAGGUCUACUCAUUACAUGAAGUACAACUAUCUCUGUGUUAUUUAGAUAUGCUUUUACUGCAUUGGCAGGGUGUUUAGGAUCAUGGUCAUGCUGUCAAAUGAAGCUGUUGUCAAUCCAUGCUUGUUAUUGCAUGAUGCUUGGCACAGUGAGCUCCAGGAACACCAGGCUGCUCAAACAGGUCCCGGAGAGCAAAUCCGGCAUCGCUUUGUGGCAGUAUUUUCCCUAGAAGACAGAGUGUCGCUCUUACUACUGUACAAGCUUUUCAACACAACUCUGAAUCUUCUGUUGACACAAAAGGGUGUUUGUGUGUCUGUGAGUGUGUAUUUUUGUCUGCGUCUGUGUGUUUGUCAGUGUUUACUGAGGGGAUACAGACAGGAACUUAGUAGUUUGCAGCUGUCACAGUGAGAUGUCAAUAUUUAUGACAUGUUGUUUGCUAUCUGGUGUGAACUUUUUCUCCUUCAGACGUCAGCUUCAGACACACUAUUUGCACAUUCGCACAGCAUUAUUAAGCAUCAUGAAUAUAAACCACAAAGCCAGGACAAUUAAAUUAAAUGCAGAGCAAUGCUUCAUUUUUCAGGAGGACCCUUUUCACACAUAGUUGCGCUGCACAUCACAGAGAUGGGAGCUCUAAGCUGCCUCGUAGAACACCCAAGUCUGUUUGCCACUGGAGCAAGGAGAAUAAGGCAGAAAAAAAGCACUGAUUAUUUUUCUUUUCUGCCCAAAUAUAUUUUUGUGACUUGUCUGGGAAUCAGACUGGCAACCUUAUCGUUGCAAUCCGCUCUUGGUGGAAGUAUGAGGCAAAACCAUAAAGGUCUACAUGAUGACUUAGAAGUAAAAUAAAUAAAUAAAUGCAAAAACGAGAACAAAACAAAACAAAGUGCCAAAAGGUUUCAUUUGUCUUUCAUGGAAACGCCAUGCAAAUUUGUCUAUUUAUUAAAUUGGGAAAUCUAAUCAAUCUGGCACUGAACCAACUACACCUGCAUGUGGGCAUUUUUUUUGUCGCUCUUCUUUCAGGCAUAAUGGAACUGACAGCCAUUUGACCCAGAAUGAAGGCAAUGCUUCAGUCAAAUGGAAGGAGUUCUGACACCUUCCCCAAUCCCUUUAGGCCUGGCUCUGUGCAUGCUUCAGCCACUAUUUUUCUUUCUUUUUAGCAGCACACAACUUUGAGCAAGCAGUCUCGCUGACCUUCUAUAACUCUUUUAUCCGAGAUCCACAAAUUCAAUCUUCCACAAUAUAUGUUUUUUUCCCCUCCUGUUUCAUUUACUCUCUCACAUUCAGUAAUGUACUGCAGUUCUCCUUCACUGUCCACAUUUGUUCUCAAAUUUUCAUCUCGAACGCAGAUCUCCUGAUUGCUUCCAUGCUGUGAUUUGUAAUGAGAAACAGGUGUGCAUAGUGUUUUGUGAAUCUGGGACUAAGCACAAGUACAUAGAUACAGGGAUUUGUGUAUGCAGUUUUUUUCUUAGUUGCACAUUAAUCAAAAAUGUUCGAAACUUAAGGCCAAAGCUUCUGUGAUGUGUUAAAGUCCACAAGGACCAGACAUCUAUAAGCAUCCUUGUGCACUGGGUGAUUAAAAUAUCAUCACAGCUUAAAUUAGCACUUCAUUAGUAACACUGGUAAUUUCACAAUGGAACACUCUGCGAGAAAAAUAAAACACUAGGCUUUAAAGAAUAAGAAGACUAAAGAGCAAUACGCUUCAAGAAGAGUUCAAAUCUGAGGAUGUUUUCACAGUGCUACGUUGAAAACAUAAAUGAUGAACGAGUACACACGUAAAAAGGGCAGAGAAGCAAAAUCCAAUCUGAAAAAGGAAACAAAAGCCGCACACACACAGAUACAUAUUGCAGAUAUAGAAUUAGAGUGGGGGAAGAGAAUGCUAAGGACAGUAAGAGUUGCUGUCAAGUGGAAAAUGGAAAAGUGGGAGGCAUGAGAUUCCGUCACUGCUGGCUAGAAUAACGCAUAUUUUGAGAAGAGAGAGCUUCAGACCAGUCCACAGCAUGCUACUGAGCCCUUUAGACAGCCUCUGGUCACAUCCUAAUCACUGUUUAAUUAUUUAGAGUGAACAACUGCUCUCAAGGCAGCUUUGUUUUCUUUUCAAUUGUAAUUCUAUUGCAUAUGUUUAUUCUUCCUUUCUGUCUGGCGUGAGAAACAAACAAAGCCCAGUUUUUCUUUUUUCUUUUCUUUACUUUUUUUUUUAAUUGCAUGGUUUGCCAAGAGCAAUAAGAGCAGAGAACUCCCUAUAGUCAGCAAUUUGAAGGAGUUGGAUUUUUAAAUUGGACUCCAUUUGUACUGAAGUUUCCUAGUGAUAAACUUUUUAGUGCCUGUUUUUAUAUAUAAAACAUCAAACAUCCAGACAUGUAAAACAUUAUUAUCUGAAGAUUACGGUCGUGUGAAAAUUACAUCUGAAAUGCAUUAAAUUACAUUUAAGACUAUCUAGUGCUAUUGCAGUGUUAUAACAGUGUUAGAUGUCUGCUGACAACUAUUACUUCUAUUCCUGCUCAUCUUGAUUAAAACGUUAACAAAAUUUUUUACAGCAGUAAUUUUCUAUCAUACAAAAUUCAUUUUAUUUACAUAAUUCUUGCUGUUGCUGCACAUCAGGGGAAAUUCAGUGAAUUCAAAUGAACAAUUUAGUGAACUUGUCUCAUCCUACUAACCCCAUAAAAUUACUCCCUUUUGAUCUUAAUGCAAUCUUCCGCAUGCUAACCACUCUGCUGAGCUGGUAAAAUGAAUACCAUUUUUACCCUUUUCCUUUGCUAAUUAGUGACAGAAACCACAUAUCGUGGAAACUGACUGGAAUUAGCGAUGGCACGACCAAGCGAUAACUUUAAGGUGACAUGAAAACUGAGCAGCCAUGUACUUUUUUUAACCGUUAAAAUUCUGACAGACAUUCAAAAAUACAUCUUCAAAGAAGCCCUUAAAAUUUUCAUUUAAUUAUCUGCAACACCCUAAGGUGGCGAGCACCCACACUGUGCUCAGUCCUUUGCUUUUGUGCCAGAUGGGCAAUUAGAUGUAUGGUAAGUGCAUGCUGAGCAGCCACCCACAUACAGGUUGCAACAUUGCCACAUGUGGUGAGCUAACCUGUAACAGCACUCAUACUAUAUUUUACGCCUCAUUCAAGGUCUUUGCAACUAAGUUAAAACUUUCUUCGAAUUGUCACAGCAGGUUUUAAAUAGAUGUUACUUCGGAUGAAAAUAUAUCGUUCUUUGAUUUGCAAUUUAACAUUAAACACUGCGUAGGAAAAAAAGCUUAUUACAGUAGCUUUUAGUUCAUACAUCUUCUUUCCUGUGAAAGGUAAUCAGUCUAGAAGCAAAUUGUUUAAAGUUCUCCAGUGUCGAAGAGCCUUCUACACCACACUCACGCUCAACUGAUGACUGUAUCACCAAUGUUGAUUUGAAGCAAUACACUGCCAUUUAGAGUGAAGCUUAAUGUCAAUUAGUUUGGAUCUCUGUGAAACAUUUUUCUAACUGUAUGGAUCACAAGGACAAACUGAGAUUGAAAUGAAAUACCACGCGUCUGUGUUAGUGAUGCCUCAUACCACAGAAGGAUGUCUAACACUGAAGUGCCAUCAGUUCCAAAUCAUGUUUGCAUAUAGCUAUAAAGUACAACACAACACAUAUGUGUCCCUGCUGAAUUUUCGUCUGUAACAGAAUGUAUUUAGCGUGGCAUUUGCCAGGCUUUACAUUUAAACACAAGACUUUAGUGUUACGUUAGCUCCUCUUUUUUCUUUCAUUUUUAUUGGCCAUUAAUAAUGUCUUUAUGUCCAGUUUGUACAAUACAAAGCUGGGCUACAGCCUACUAAAGUCACCAAUCUGUACUUAUACUCCUUGGUAUUUUCUUUCUUUUACAGUUACUAAAUAAGUAUUAACAUAGUUAUGUUUGGAUGAAUUUAAAGUGCUGUUCACUUAACAAACACGCAUUCUUAUACAGAUUUUUACAUCAGUUUUCA